CUGACAGGUGGACCCUUAUGUAGUUAGCUAAUAGACACGGCAAAGAACUCGGAAUGAAAAUUGGGUCCGUUUCUCGGACUUCCCGGCGGCCGGCGCCCUCCCUGCGAGAGCGCCGCAGGGCUCGGCUCGGCCGGCGAUUCACUCAACCAGCGCGCUUGCGGCUAUCCUCUUUUCCCCUCUCCAGAGCAGCUCCUUGCUCUCCCCACACCGACGGGUGUCUUCUUGUUUGAUCUGAUUGCAGAUGCAACCCCAAGGUGUAUCGAUCGAUCCAUCUGCUGUCACAAUCCUGCACCAGAAAAUUUCAUGGAGAUGGCUGAGCGCUGGCUGUUAGCACCAAAGAAAGCAUCAAUUUGGCUUAGAGAAUUCUACUUCUCCUGGAGAGUGAGGAUACACCCUCUUCUGUGUGUUCAAGAGAAAAAAGAAAAUUACAGUCCCUGGAGAGCCAGUAUUUCCUUUUCUCUAAGCUUUCUGCCUUUUGUCCUUCCCAGUUUCAUGAAGGAGCAGGUGCAUUUUAACUGUACCAGCUGUUUCAUGCUUGUAUGUCUAUAUAACCCAUUAGUAGAGAGAGCCAUCAUAUAUUAACAUAAUGAUUGUAAUCCGGUUGGUUAAAUACUACAAUCUCAUCACGAUCAUUCUUCUGUUGAGAUGCGGAAAUAUAUAGUUGUUAUUUUCAGGAAACUAAAUGAGGAACACGUGGAAGCCUGCUCAACUGUGCUUACAAACCUAGUGGCAUUCCCUCUGAACAAAUGAUGGGUGGUUUCUGCAAAAUGAAGAUCUUAAAUAUUGUUAUCCUUUAGAGUCUGGAGAUUGGCUGCUCAAUUUUUUGCUUUGAUUAUAGACCUGAUUGCAUUUGGAUAUUUGUUUGCAUGAUUGCCAUGUGAAAAGUGGUUAUUCAUUAUAUUGCCCAUAGCUAGCAUAGUUAGUCAAAAUGUCUAACAGUUAGCAAAAUGUCAAAGGGUAUUCCGUGCUAUAGAAUGCACAUUCAAUUUUAUUCUGUUCUUUUUAAGCAACAUAUGUUUAUAUGUUCAUUGUUAUUCCGUGUGGCUUGAAGUUGGAUGUUUCAAAUUAUGCGAAUCUUUCAAUGGUAUGAUUAAGGAAACACAAUGAUAUAUGGUUUCACAUUUUUAUUCAUCAAGUCUUACCUGGAAGGCUGUAAUGCGUGAUUGACCCUUUAUCUUUUGGGUCCUUAAUCUCUCCAAUAUGAUAAGGUUUCAUCACAGGUAAAUACAUGGACCAAAGUUCCUGCAAUGUGUCUGUUUAAACUAGUAAAUACCUAGAAUGUGUUUGUUUAUCUUCACCUCCUCCUCUUAGCUGGGUUGUUGUAAAGGUGCUUUGCUCAUCUGGAGUUACCUAGGACCAAAACAACUCGUCGCUACUCUGUGUUUAUAAAUAUUUACUCGUUUGCAACUGUUAAAUGAAAGAUAGUCACCAAUUAUUUCAAAAGUGCACUAAUUAGCUUGUCCUAGACGUCAUAUUUAAAAAUGAAGGGAGUCUUCUGCACCUUGAUAACCUGGCCCUACUACUAAGGAGUACUGAUGCAAGAUGGUCGUCCUUCUACUCCCUCAGUCCCACGAAGAGUCUUCAGACAGAUUAGUGGUGGUGUGAAAAGACUCCCAUGCCCUCAAUUGUUGGCCACAUGCAGUUAGUUUUGGCAUGCAAAUCAAAUCUAACCGCUUAAUUAGGCAAGUAGUUAGAUCUAAUUCCUAGAAUUGCACUCUUUUGUGGGAUGUUUUUCAAACGCUAGGAUUGCACUUUUCAUGGGACGGAGGGAGUGUGUUUCAAAAGAGAGUAGUUUAUAUCUUCAUUUAUUUGGAAGAUGGAUAGCUAGAUGAACAAACAGCUAGGGUAUAUAAAAUACUGCUUUAAGUCACUGAGGCUUUUACUUCUUCUAUUUGAGCAAUUAUUUUGUAGCAUAAACUUUACCCUUGCUUGUUUGACAUGUUGUGCUUUUUCAUACACAGUGCCAUGUAAGAAAUGAUGCUCUCAUUGUAACAUUGUAGGUGUGUGGUAUACAAACUGAUAAUAUUAAAAGCAUUUUUUCCUAUAAAAGUCAUUUACAAAGAAGCUUGAAUCUCAUAUGGAAUACCUUUGUUGCAUCAUCCAUUUUGAUCAUUGGUUUGCAAAUAGCAUCCUGAUGUGAGAGCAAAACUGAAGCAGGGUUAUACCGAAUGGCAGGGCAAUUCUCCUUUGGCAGGGAUGGCGAUAGCACUGUGCAUUGUCCAUGCCUGCUACUUUGGCCUCCAUGCCAGAGGAGAACCGCACUGUGAUUCUCACCCUGAAUGCUCCCUAUCCAUCUUUGAUCUCUUCCAUUUCUUAUUUCUCCAGAAAGUCCAUCACUCUGAUGUAACUUGCCCUUCAUAUUCUUAUUUUUGUGCUCACUCUGUUUCUUGCCUUGCACCGUAUGCUGCCAUGGCAAAUAUAUAGGGCCGAGAUGGGCAACCAAAAUCUGGAUAUGCUGCUGCUGCGGAUAUACUUCCAAAUCAGGACAAUGCUUUCAGGAGGUCUCUUUUGCAGUUUUAUUCCCUGUCACUGUUGUUGGAAAAGAAGUUUGAUGCCAGAAUAAGCUGUUCCAUCGACGAUACAUUUUGCGUUAGAGACCAACCUUCGUCUAUUACUAACAGAAACUGAAUCCUCUACAAGGUUAUUCCUGUACAAACUGGUUACCAUCUCUAUUAGGUCCAUUGGUAUUAUGCUUUGUCGCGGAACAUCCCCAUGGAUCUUCUCAUUUGGUGCUGUUCAAAGCUGCCUCAGUUGAAGAAUCCAGUAGGUAUCUGAUUCCAGGAGCUUUGUAGAAAGGAUGCACCUCCUGCAAGUUGAGCUGCUGAGGGCGUCGAAAGGCCGCGUAACAUUUCAAUACAUCUAAUCUUGGGUCCUACACCCAGAUGAUUGUUUACAUCCUGGAUCUUUAUCUUUUAUUAAAAUAUUGAUUCAUAAAUAAGCCACCUGUUUCUGCUGAUUCUUUUUCUUGCUCAUUAAAAGUUCUGAUCAACAGUUUUCAUUUACUACGUUUUUUUUUUCAGUUUGCCCCCUCAAGAACUACCAUUGACUAAGUUAUAAUACAGUUUUAUUGUAACUACUAAAAAUUGUAGGAAGCAACAAGAAAAUGGCACACAGGAGUCAUCAAAUCACCGUUGCGCCAUGUCCAUGUCACCAAUAUUAGGUCCUGGGUGAACAUAACGGACCAACUAGUGUUAGCCUGAAUUAUAACAUCAUUGGGGAAUGAAUUGCUAGGAGAUCCCAGGGUGAGGAGAAUAGAUUGAAAUUUUGCUAAUUUCAGGAAAGUGAAAAUUAGCAAGGUAGACAAGAAAAUGGCACAAUAGCAUCACACCUUAAACAGAGUGGAAGACAGCAACUUUUCUGAAGUAUAGAAGGAAAAGAGGAAAGGACCCAUCCUUUUAACACACUGAGAGCCUGGAGAUGGCAAGUGCUACAAACAGGUGGACAUUACAGCAGUUGCAAAUCUGUCAUUAUGUUUACUAUUGCAAAAAAUGCUUAGAAAAGAUGCCAGGGGUGCUUGGAAAAUAUGCUUCUUUGUAUCUGGAAAUAUGCUUGGUACCAUACCUGUCAAGCAAAGAGAGAAGAGAAGAUCAAGCGGAUAUGCUGAUGCUAGCUUCCAUUCCAUGAGCUCAAAUCUAGCAACAGUGCAAUGCAUAUAUAUACUGGCUUGGUCGAACCUAGGAUGCAGCAACCCAGUCAUCAGGGUAACUCCAGAUGGUGCUGAAACUCUUGGCUUGUGGUAAAGAAAACAUAUAGGAGAAAGAUACGCGUCUAGUCAAUAUGGAAUCAGCUGUGUUAAGUGGCAGAUCUUCUCCAUCCGUGCCUGCUACUACUUCAUAGGGAGCCUGCCUUUGAAGAGCAUCUCAGCAUGUGUCUGAAGUGAAGGCUGAACAGCCACUAGGCGUUCCAACGGCCGCGACACAUGUCGGAUAGAGUAUAAGAUCUCAAUCUUUGUGAAAGUACUCCUUUUGCCACUUUGAUGCGUCUGUUUGUGACUGGAUACUUGGACCGGCAGCUUCAAGAUAUUUUCAAAAAUGUAAGUGAGCUAUCAAAGGACAUUGCAAUUUCUUUUAAAAUGUUAUACCUGAAUUGUUCCUUCCGAA